UGGGGCAGGUGCGGAAGUGUAGCAUUAAUUCCUCGGCGGAGCGUGGAACAGGUACAGGAUGUGUGCGGUACAUUAUCUGCCGUCUAGGCUUAGCAAGUUCAUCUAUGAGCUCCUGUGCGGGAAACCUAGCGACCGCAUCUUCCAGCUCCCCUCAGCCCUCGCCGCGCCCCGCUCGGUUCUUAGUGCCAGGUGAGACUGCAUGUGGCGGCUCUCCAUCACCGCGCUGGAGAGGCAAGACUGCUUGUUGUGGUCAGUGGCGCGCAGAUGGCCGCCGUCUUCUUCGGAGAUCCUGAGCGGCUGAGCCGAGCUUGCAAGCUCUGCUGGCGCAAGUGAUGGUCGGCGGGGGUGAAGUGGAAGCUGUCGUUGGCUGUUCCUCACUGGCAGAGCGCGCGGCAAUUCAGUGGCAGGGGAUUGCAGCCAGAGGGAUCUGUGGCCGAGGUCGAUGAUGUUGGUGAGCGUGCUGUCGCCUCUUGAUGGAGAGGAGGUACCGUUCCUUUCCUCAUCAGACCCUCUCUGCUUUUGUAUAACUGCACGCUCUGCUGAUUUCCCGUAAUUCAGUCUGUACUUUGGAUCCAUGAAAUUUAGUCUGCACUUUGUUCUAUUUUGGGGGAAAUAUAUUACGCAAUUCAGAGUAGAAACACUAGUUUAACUUGUUGCCACAAAAACUGUUAAAUACCUGAACUCUGCUAUAAAUCUUGGCACCAUUUUUAUGUUAAAUACAUCUGGUUAGAGUACCUGAGCUACUUUGUUUGUGGGGACUAUCGGUAGUUUUUUCCUAGUUUCAGUAGUUGUUUUUUAAGAUAUAUAUCUAAUUGGUUUUGGCAGAAUGCGACGUGAAAAAAUGGCUGCCACUAUUUUGCUCUCUCAUCUGCAACAGAAAAAAGUUUAAUACAUGGCAUCUGUCCCCCGCGAUGACUUGACUAUUUCAUUCGUAGACAUCGGGUAGGGAGGGCACUGCCCGAAAGAACAUUAAACUCUGCCCGCGUCACAACACUCGAGCUAACCUUGCAUGACUUCCCAACCAGGAGGAAUCAUGAGGACAUUGUCCCAGAAGUGGGUGUUACGUUUGAUUUGAUUAGAGAGGCUUAGGACUUCUACAAUCUGUAUUCAUGGGAACGGGGGUUCAGGGUAAGAUAUGGUAAAAGCAGGCUCAAUGUCGACCGAGUGAAGUGCAUGCAAGAAAUAUUCUACGGGUGUUUGGUGAGUGAGUUCUGGUGCCCUUUUUGAUGUGUUUCCCGCCUUGCUAUUCGAGCACCAAAAAUCAAAAGAUCAAACUUGUUAUAAAAAAAAUGAUCCACCGAGAGUAAUCUUUUUAUUUAUUCCGCCAAUUGCAAGGGAAGCCCUGGGCCACAACCUCGCAUUUCACCAGGUGCCUUUGCCCAGCCCUCAUCAGGUUGUUGCGUUCGAAAGGAUAAUGGAUGGUACAUAUGCGAGCAUAGGGAUGUCUGCCUCGUUUGGUGAGCGGGCGCAUUGACCGUCGCACAAAAGACUUGGUUAAACAGUUGAGGGAAAAUAAUGUCAAUCUUGGGAAGGUGUACAGUAUUGUAGGAAGUUUCUUCAGGAAAAUGGGGAAUGUACCAUUCACAAAAAGGGCAUUGAAAACUCUUUGUGGCAAGAUCAGUAGCGAGCAAGCAGAUGACAACGUCAGGAAAACUAUAGAAGUUUUCUGGGCGGCGGGUCCUGAAUUCACUUACAUUGUGCAAGUGGAUGACGACAGCGAAAGUGUGAAUCACAUGCUGAAGACGUAUGUGUCUCCUGGAUUGGUCAUGCACGUGUUAAACAAUUUAACAAACUGCUAUAUGAUGGGGACUCGGAAGAGAGCUUCCAGGAGAAGAGGACAUGGCUGUGGUUUAUAAAGUCGGCCAACCUAUGGAGAAACACGCAGCAAAAAUUUACACACGGACAAUGUUCGAGAAGUUCCAGGAUUUUCUUUACAAGUCUGGGUCUUACUAUGUCGACCAGGUGGUGCCAGGGGAGAGGUAUGUGGCAAAACAUUUUGACAGCGAUAUUCGGGAGAAGUGGUGCAAGGUGCAGUAUGAGGUUUCAGUGAGUGAUGGAUAUUACACUUGCGAAUGCGGCAUGUAUGAGCACAUGGGCAUGCUCUGUUGCCAUGUGCUUAAGGUGGAAUCCACAUCAUGUUUACAUUUUAUUUUCCCUUUGACGUGGCAGACGCAACUGGUAAACUAUGUGGGGCAUGACGUACAUUUUCCAGUUGCAGGUUCUUGUCCACCUUAGGUUCGUUGAGAUUCCAGCCCUGCAUGUGAUGAAGAGAUGGACGGUAGACCCGCAAGACGUUUUGCCCUUGCACCAGGUGUAGUACCAGAAAGACCAGGGUCUAAUGACAUCAUUCAGUCAUUCCCAGCUGUACCUUAACUACAUGGAAGUGGUGAGGUUAGGGGAUGUAAAUGUUGAUGCAUACACCACAUCAAUGGAGUCCAUAAAGGUGGUCGAGCCAAAACUCGUGAAGGUCGCUGUUGAAGGGGAUGGUUUGGGUCUUGAGGAGAGACUUAGCGCAAAGAAAGCUCGGCUUGAGGGAGCGGCGGCCCAGAUUUUGUGCAAGCACAUCCCCCAGGACAAUGGAGGUGGUGAUGCAAUAAGCCUGGAUGCAGCUCUUCUAGCUCCAUCGAAGAACAUAAGUGGAGGGAGGCCAACCAGUAGCCGCGACAGGCCGCUGUAUGAGACUACCUCGAAGCGAACAAGAUUCUGCACAAUAUGCAGGCUCCCUGGGCACAAGAGCACAACAUGUCCAGAUCGCCCUCCCGGGGUUGCAAAGCCUCGGAAAAGAAGCAAAAUGAUCCAAUUGCGGUCUACCUGGGCACCAUAAGGCAAACUGUGCUGCAAAGAGCACAUCGGUUUGGAGGGGCUCGUGUUUUUGUGCUGCAUUUUCUUUUACUUCCCUGUGAGAAAAAUUGCUUUCGCAUUCUGCUAUCAGCAAAAGACAAAAGUGUGAUGUAAUUUAUUUGUUAUUGAGGGUAGAAGAACAUUAGCCCGGCCCCAAGGGGGAUUAAUACUUUACGAAUAGGAUCAUUACUGUAAAAACAUUGGAUUCUCGAGGGAGACUUGUGUAGGAUCUCCUUAUUAGGUGAAAUC